rnacentral:rRNA from 1 species
CGCGUGAGCAAUCUGCCUUCGGAUGGGGGAUAACAGCCGGAAACGACUGCUAAUACCGCAUAAUGCAGCAGGACCGCAUGAUUUUGCUGCCAAAGAUUUAUCGUCCAAAGAUGAGCUCGCGUCUGAUUAGCCAGUUGGCGGGGUAACGGCCCACCAAAGCGACGAUCAGUAGCCGGACUGAGAGGUUGAACGGCCACAUUGGGACUGAGACACGGCCCAGACUCCUACGGAAGGCAGCAG